CACGUAGGGAGCAAGCGUUGUCCGGAUUUAUUGGGCGUAAAGAGCUCGUAGGUGGUUCGGUAAGUCAGGUGUGAAACCUCCAGGCUCAACCUGAAGACGCCACUUGAUACUGCUGUGACUGGAGUCCGGUAGGGGAGCGUGGAAUUCCUGGUGUAGCGGUGAAAUGCGCAGAUAUCAGGAGGAACACCAGCGGCGAAGGCGGCGCUCUGGGCCGGUACUGACACUGAGGAGCGAAAGCGUGGGUAGCAAGCAGG
rnacentral:rRNA from 1 species